rnacentral:tRNA from 1 species
GCUUCUUUAGCUCAGUUGGUAGAGCGUUAGGUUGAAGACCUAAGCGUCCGUGGUUCAAUUCCACGAGGGAGCACCA